UAAAUGAAAGCCAAAACAGCGGCGCCUAACUGUUAACUAGAAAAUUGUAACUAUAUUACUCAUUUAG
rnacentral:tRNA from 1 species